rnacentral:lncRNA from 1 species
GUGUGGGGUGUUCUGGAUAUGAUGAAAUAUGUAUAGAGGUUAUGAGUGGUCAAUAAGGAAUCGAUCACCCCUAAUAAGGAAAGUGAACAUCCUAUGUGAUCUCAUAGGUUGAUAAUUCUGAAAGUCUUUGGCCAACGCAGGAUGAUAAUUAGAAAAGAGUUUCUAAUGUAUCAUCAACUGAAUCAUCAUCUGCGGUGUUAUUUGACUGAAGGAUUGAAUUGGAUGAUAAUUUACCACU